AGCGAACGCUGGCGGCGUACUUAACACAUGCAAGUCGAACGAGGUCCGUACCGUGAGCAAUCACGGUGGGGCCGAGUGGCGUACGGGUGAGUAACACGUGGGCAACCUGCCCUGGAGCCUGGGAUACCCUCUCGAAAGGGAGGCUAAUACCGGAUACGCUCCCCGGGUCGCGAGACUGGGGGGAGGAAGGUGGCGCAAGCGACCGCUCGAGGAGGGGCUCGCGGCCUAUCAGCUAGUUGGGGGGUGACGGCCCACCAAGGCGAUGACGGGUAGCUGGUCUGGGGAGGACGACCAGGCCCACACGGGGACUGAGACACGGCCCCGACUCCUACGGGAGGCAGCAGUGGGGAAUUUUCCGCAAUGGGCGCAAGCCUGACGGAGUGACGCCGC
rnacentral:rRNA from 1 species